GUUAUUGUAGUUUAAAUUUAGAAUAGUAGUUUGUCGGAUUGCAGGUGAUUUUAAUAAUCUUUUAACU
rnacentral:tRNA from 1 species